CCUACGGGUGGCUGCAGUGGGGAAUAUUGGGCAAUGGACGCAAGUCUGACCCAGCAACGCCGCGUGAAGGAAGAAGGCUUUCGGGUUGUAAACCUCUUUUAAGGGGGAAGAGCAGAAGACGGUAUGCCUUGAGUAAGCAUCGUCUAAUCCGGAGCAAGAUGCCGCGGUAACAGGGAGGAAGCGGGCGUUAUCCGGAUUGUUUGGGUUAAAGGGGUGCGUAGCCGGUUUUUUAAGUUAGUGGUAAAACGUCGGGGUUUACCCUUGAAUUGCCAUUGAUACUGUAAGACUCGAGUUCAGACGAGGUAGGCGGAAUAAAUUAAGUAGCGGUGAAAUGCUUAGAUAUAACGUAGAACUCCGAUAGCGAAGGCAGCUGACCAGACUGCAACUGACGCUGAGGCACGAAAGCGUGGGUAGCGAACAGGAUUAGAUACCCUAGUAGUC
rnacentral:rRNA from 1 species